rnacentral:rRNA from 1 species
AACAAACGCUGGCGGCGUGCCUAAUACAUGCAAGUCGAACGGGGAAAACUUUCGGGUGAGUACUAGUGGCGCACGGGUGAGUAACGCGUGGAUAAUCUGCCAUAGAGUGGGGGAUAACUAGUCGAAAGAUUAGCUAAUACCGCAUAAGACCACAAGAACUGCGGUUCAAGAGGUCAAAGGUUUUUCGCUCUAAGAUGAGUCCGCGUAAGAUUAGCUAGUUGGUGAGGUAACGGCUCACCAAGGCAACGAUCUUUAACUGGUCUGAGAGGAUGAUCAGUCACACUGGAACUGAGACACGGUCCAGACUCCUACGGGAGGCAGCGGUAGGGAAUAUUGCACAAUGGAGGAAACUCUGAUGCAGCGACGCCGCGUGAGUGAUGAAGGCCUUCGGGUCGUAAAGCUCUGUCGCAGGGGAAUAACACAAUGAAUGUACCCUGUAAGAAAGGAUCGGCUAACUUCGUGCCAGCCGCCGCCGUAACAC